UACGUAGGGGGCAAGCGUUGUCCGGAUUUAUUGGGCGUAAAGAGCUCGUAGGCGGUUUGGGAAGUCGGGUGUGAAAACUCCGGGCUCAACUCGGAGACGCCACUCGAUACUGCCAUGACUUGAGUCCGGUAGGGGAGUGCGGAAUUCCUGGUGUAGCGGUGAAAUGCGCAGAUAUCAGGAGGAACACCGGUGGCGAAGGCGGCACUCUGGGCCGGUACUGACGCUGAGGAGCGAAAGCGUGGGGAGCGAACAGG
rnacentral:rRNA from 1 species